ensembl:antisense Gm16252 predicted gene 16252
AGACCAAAGAGGAAAGGAAAGGGAGGAAAAUAGACCCCUCCCAGAGGCUAACCACUCCAUUUGAACAGGCGGAGGGUUCUCAUAACUGGAGCCUUGAGGAGAGUGAGAGAAUACAUUGCCUGGCGCUGCAGCCACCCAGACGAAGACUUUCAUUCAGGCUGACAGCAUCUGGCGAUCCUCUCUCUCCAGGAGACUCCAUCCACCGCUAAGGAUUCAAGGGGCUAUGCGUUCGAGGCCCUGAGAGUCACGAUCCCACUCAAGGCUGUCACCCUCACAAGUCUUAUCAAGAAGUAACUGAAGGUCACUGAAGUUGAUCAAGAUCACCCCAGCUAAUUACACCACCAGGACCACGGGUUGUGGUAAUCUUCAAGUAGGUGUUGAUUGUCUCCCGUUACUCUGAACACUAGAGGGAACACACAGUUCGGCCUUAGAAGCCCUCUGUCAGCUGCACGGACUCCGUGGGCUCUGAGAAGCGAUCAAAGCCCCACAGGUUCCCCCGGAAGAUCCAACCUUUCCAAAUACCUGCUGCAUUGCCAACUGCCGGGCCAGAAUCCACACGGGAUGAGUGGCAGCCACCCCUCCUCUCUGCUGUCUCUUGAGCCCCUUCCCUGCGGCAAACCCUGAUUGAAGACCCUCCAUGCACUGGCUCUGAUUUUCAAAGGUCUAGGGGGCAAGCAUUGCAAGUGUGUGGAGAUACGCUGCCGAAACCCUGCUGCCCCUUCAGAUUUACCACCAUCCCUGACACCUGCCCCAGGACGGACUACCGCAGGGCCGACAGAGCAUGCGCAGUCUCUUGGGAUCCCUCUACAGCUCAAGGCUUCCACCAACCCAGCAGAAACACGCAGACGUUGUUCCAC